GCUUAGAGAACAGGAAGUGGGAGCCACAUACCCCGAGCUGGCGGCUUGAGCCUGUGGUAUCUAGGCUCACCUCACUGCGGUUGGUGGAGGUGAUGGAGGUUGCAGCUUGGCCAGCAUGGUAGAAAGGUGGCAGGGUAGACUCUAGAUUCUAGAGGGCAACCUCUGUUUGCUCAUGCUGGAGCGUGGCAGGUGCACAAUGUUUCCUUGGGAAUCCUCAGCAGGGCACGUCUGGCUUUUACCACCCAGUUGCUUCGAGCCAGGAGAUGGAGGAGUCAUCUGUUGCACGCUGGAGGCUGGAGCCUGCAGAUGGCAUGGUUCUGUGGCUCACCUCGCUGCAGUUGGUGGCAGAGACAGAGACUGCAGCUUGACCAGAGUGGUGGAGUGAGUAUUGUCAUCUGCAUGAGCAAAUCUGGUUCAUCACAUCUUUGCAACAGGAAAAGGAAGGGAGGAUCAUGUGUAUAAUGUUUUAAGGCCAAGAUUCACAACAAGAACAAAGUCUUUAUUAACUUUUGCCUUCAAGAACCUGCAGUGUUGAGCCCUUUUUUAUUUCUGGUUGGAGUGCAGUGGCAUGAUCUUGACUCACUGCAACCUCCACCUCCCGGGUUCAAGCCAUUCUCUUCCCUCAGCCUCCUCAGUAGCUGGAUUACAGAUAUGUAUCUCAAGAGCACUCCACAACAAAGAUUCUGCCUGCAAUCCUCCACUUCAAGGUCUGUUCCAGGAAACCUGUGUAACACAGUUAUGCAUAGAGUGGUCUUAGGAAGCUGACUCUAACAUGAAAAUUUAGAGUUGGAUCUUUUGCUGACAUAUUGAAUAUUCAUAAGAGCAUAUGAUACAUUUGUCUAUCAUAAACAUGUCAUUUCAAAAAACCCUCAAAGUUGCCUUGUAGAACAUAAUUUUAAAACUAGUGUGUAGGAAUAUUUCAUAUCAGUUAUUCAGUCUUCUUAAUAUCUGAACCGAAAUUAAUCUUCCAUUCUGCUUUUAUUUAUAAAUAAUGAUUUAUUGUCAGAUUCAAUAAUUUAUAUUUUCAUUUAUUCUAAGGUAGGAAAUACCAGCAUAAAAAUAAAUUAUUUGAAACAAAUC
rnacentral:lncRNA from 1 species